rnacentral:rRNA from 1 species
GAUGAACGCUGGCGGCGUGCCUAACACAUGCAAGUCGAGCGAACGGACGAUAAGCUUGCGCCCUUGAUGUUAGCGGCGGACGGGUGAGUAAGACGUGGAUAACCAACUUAUUAGACUGGGAUAACUUCGGGAGACCGGAGCCAAUACUAGAUAAUAUUUUGAACCGCAGGGUUCAAAAGUGAAAGACGGUUUUCCUGUCACUAAGAGAUGAUGCCGCGUUGCAUUAGCGAGUUGGUAAGGUAACGGCUCACCAAGGCAACGAUGCAUAGCCGACCUGAGAGGGUGAUCGGCCACACUGGAACUGAGACACGGUCCAGACUCCUACGGGAGGCAGCAGUAGGGAAUAUUCGACAAUGGGCGCAAGCCUGAUGGAGCCACACCGCGUGAGUGAAGAAGGCCUUCGGAUCGUAAAGCUCUUUUAUUGGGAAAGAACAUAUGUGGAAGUAACUCUCGCUAUCCUGACGGUACCUAAUCAGAAAGCACCGGCUAACUACGUG